rnacentral:lncRNA from 1 species
GAUGCAGGCCCUGAGAGGUUAUAAAAUUUUUGCUGCUACUUACAGAGAUGAUUUAAUCAUUGAGAUGGUAAAAACACCUGAGAUUUGUGGCAGUUAUCUGUAGAGUUUAUAAAAAUCAAAAAAGCUAUAUAUAUUAAUCCGUUAAAUGUUCUUUUGUUUUGUAGGGGAUGUUUUCUCUGGCGUUUUCGGGAUGAUGCAUUGGUGGAGACUGGAGCUGCAAAUGUUAAUGCUGUUGUAGGUUUUGCCUCCAUGGACUGAGAAAACAAGGCCUUUUUCCAGGAUAAUUCAAUGGAUCUCUGUGAAGCAAUACCUUGAAUGUUUCUUAAAGCUCCAAGCAAGCCCCGUGAGAUGCUUCUGCCAGAGAACUUCUCAAGUGAUGUUUCCUGUCAGGAGCCACACAUAUUCUAGCAUUGAAGAUUUUUCAGGAUUUCUCCACGCACUACAUCGGAUUUGGCGCACCCUUCACUACAGACCAAACUAUAGCAUUUUCUAGUGCUCACUGACCCAAAGGAGCCACAGAAAAGUUAUGAAGCAUUCUACUCUGCGGAGAGUUAGAUCUAUGGGUUUGAAUAAGAGUAAGACUUCAGUAUAAUUCUUGAACUACAACUCGAGUAUCAGCCCCUAACCCUCGGCUUAACUGUAGCUUUAUGAUACAUGUCCGCAAAGAACUUACUGUACAGCAUUUGACCUACUGACGAGAGAAUAAAUAUGUAAACUUGUUUAUCUGCUACA